UACAGAGGUCUCAAGCGUUGUUCGGAUUCAUUGGGCGUAAAGGGUGCGUAGGCGGCGCGGUAAGUCGGGUGUGAAAUCUCGGAGCUUAACUCCGAAACUGCAUUCGAUACUGCCGUGCUUGAGGACUGGAGAGGAGACUGGAAUUUACGGUGUAGCGGUGAAAUGCGUAGAUAUCGUAAGGAAGACCAGUGGCAAAGGCGGGGUCUCUGGACAGUUCCUGACGCUGAGGCACGAAGGUCAGGGGAGCAAACGGGG
rnacentral:rRNA from 1 species